GCUGUGUUCCUGACCAUGGAAUCGAACUCGACGCAGAAAAGCCAUUGCAUAUUUUCAUCUUACAAAUUAGCCAUUACGGUAAGUAAAAUCAUUGUAAAAUAAUGAAGAGUGGAAGUACUUCGUGUUACCAUAUCUUUGGCCGAACUCUGUGUUGGUUUGUGAAAUACAAGAACUGCGCUACGAGAGUAGUUUUUACUUGGUCUUCGCCUCGGCUUCCCGAUUGUUCGUCCCGUCGGAGUCGAUGACCAGGCACAGGCCCAGCGCAGCCCGCCAGGCCUGGCUAGGCCAGGCCGAACAGAGGGGAGUAAAAGUAACUUAGACCCCUGUUACACAUGCGUCGGCUUUCAAAGCCGGCCCCGGAGGCGGCCUCACGCCUGCAAUUUGAAGCCGCCUCAAAAUCAUCAAACCCCUGUUACACAUAGUCUCGGGCCCGCAAUUUUGCGUCUACACAUAGGCCGGCCUCACGUCGCCUUUUCACGAGCUGACGUUGGGGCGCACUUCAUGUAAACAAACGCUUAAUAUUUUCGCGCGGUUUGCAGGUCUUUUUAAUUGCAUUGGAUCUCAUCGACAUCGCGACCGAUCCGUACACAUAUCUUACCUCCAUAUUUUGUUUAUAUAAUUGCAUUAUGAAGGUUAAGAAUAUCGUAACUAUUAUUUCUGAUCGAAGGAGGGAAUUUCGACGUGCUCAAAAAAGGCGAUUCCGGGAGUUUGAAGCACGUCGUCGGCGAGUACGGUACUAUUUUUUGUUAUGUGCUAUAACGUUUGCCUGCACCGUGGAAAGGAGUGUGUGGAUGAAGGAGCGAUCUGGACAUUUCUGGGAGAGGAUAGUGGAAGGGAGAUUCACGGCAAGAGAUUUUCGUGAAAAUUUCCGUGUGAACAAGUCGACAUUUGAUUUUCUGUGUGGUGAGCUAGCACCGGCUAUUCGUCGCCAAAACACACGAUGGCGUAAAGCAGUUUGUGUCAGAAAGAGAGUUGCCAUAACUCUGUGGCGUUUAUCCACAAACUGCGAGUAUCGAACAAUCGGGCAUCUUUUUGGGGUAGCGAGAUGUACCGCCAAUGUCAUCGUCAACGACACCUGCCUUGUAAUUGUACAAGAACUAAUGAGAAGAUAUAUUACCUUUCCUUCUGGAGAUAGAUUACGGGCAACUGUUCAGGGGUUCGAGGACAUGGGGUUUCCCCAAGUUGCAGGUGCCAUUGAUGGAACCCAUAUCCCUAUAAUUGGACCUGUUAAUUACCAUGCUGAUUAUCAUAAUCGAAAGGGAUGGUACUCUGUCAUUCUCCAGGCAGUUUGUGACCAUAAGUACAUGUUCACAGAUAUCAUGGUAGGAUGGCCAGGACGCUGCCACGAUGCCCGGGUGCUGGCAAACUCUUCUUUUCACCGAAGAGCGGAAAAUGGAGAACUGCUUCCAAAUAUGACAAGAAACAUCAAUGGCCAAGAUGUUCCGCUGAUGAUACUUGGGGACCCUGCCUACCCACUGCUGCCAUGGCUAAUGAAAGGUUUUGCCGAUAAUGGUCGUCUGACUGAAGAUCAGACUAACUUUAACUACAGGCUCAGCAGGGCGAGAAUGGUCAUCGAAGGUAGUUUUGGUAGACUGAAGGGGCGAUGGAGAUGCUUAUUGAAGCGCAAUGACAGCGCUCUUGAGAACGUAACUAAUAUUGUUGGAGCGUGUUGUACCUUGCAUAACCUUUGUCAGAUGCAGUCCGAUGAGCCAGAUGACGAGUGGCUUGAUGUUGCUCAUGAAUUACGAGAGUUUCAGCCACCUUGUCCUUUGCCAAAUCAAAGGCCUGCACCAUCAGCAUCUGUAGUGCGUGAUGCUCUUGUUCAGUAUGUUAGGUAACUUUUUUUAUGCAUUUCUUCAACCACUGUUAAUGAUAUUCCACAGGUGUAAACAGAGCCUCAAAUGAACUCAUUCAUUCGGUUAGUCAAUGACCCCCCCCCCCCCCCCCAACCCCCGCCCUCAUGAUUGAAAAUGUUAUGUAGCCUCUGUUUUGUAAUGUAAAACAGUUAUCAAGAAUAGAGUUUUCUCUCUUGGACAUUUCUCUUUGUUUUUCCUUUUUAAUUAUUAAUUUAUGUUAAUCAUUCAUAAUAGACUAUUGAGAAAAUGCAAAUCUGUUAUUUUUUUAUAAUCCAUUUUAAAGUAGAUGGUUGGCCUUUUUGUAAUGAAUAAUCUUUUUUUUUUUUAAUAAUAUGCUUUUAUUUCACCAAGUCAUUUGUUUCAUAUUUUACUAUACAGAGUGAUGAAAAAGUAGUAAAUUUAAGGUAGGCCUAUGGCAGAUAAGAUUAUCAGGGCCAGAAGAUUGUCAAUUAAUUAGAAUGAUUUUUUUUUCUUCUUUGUAUCAGUCUCUUUCCCAAUCCAUGGAUACAGUAAGACUGGGUUUAUGUUAUUGUCAACCAUAGCUGGGGGCUUUAGGUAUGCAUAGCAGAGGUUAAUGUAUGCACUGACAUAGCAAUGCAUCUGACCAGUAGCAUAGCACACUGCAAUCUUCUUUUCAUCUUGUGUUUCUUCCCUGUUAUGACUGACAUAAGUUUAAGUGUUUUAAAACCGAAUAUUCAAAUUCAAAUUCAUUUGCCUAUAUGAUCUACAAGUGAUGAACACAUUUUAACCAUCUUAUCCUGUGCCCAUUCAAAAGCCAGUUUUGUGUUAUGUUAUUUCAUUUGAGGUAAAAUGCAGUUGUAUUGUUAUUUUUUCAAGCAAAUAUAGUGCCAGAAGCAUUAUUUUUUUUCUUGUUGUCCAUGUGACUUUCUUGCUAUUUCAUCAAUGCGAUAAUUUAUAUCAAUCAUUAAUCUUAAAAGAUGCACUUUAAACUUGACACCAGCAUGCCUCAUCAUGGGAAGAUGAAUUAAUUUUGUUUAGGGUUAUGUAGGUCAAAGGACACAGAGGUUAAUACACAUGAAACAUUACCUAUUUGUAGUUCUUUUAUCAUAAUAUCUUGUACUAUUUGCUUCUUGUAUUCAAUGUGCUAACAAGUAUUCAUUUGGAGAGGAAUUUCAAACAAAGGUUACAGAGGUAAAUGUAUAAUGUAUAUAAAACAAUACCAGAUAAACAUGAUUUAUCUUCAAACCCAUGUGGAUAAGUAGUAAUUGCUUGGGGGCAGGUGCAAGUGGUCAUUAUCUCUUUAGCUAUGUGAUUAUAUUGGAUUGUAUUCAACCACUAUGAAAUAGCUGUUUUGUACAUAUAUGUCGUUUUUUCUUCUCUAACCACUUUUAGUUCAAAAUUGUUAGGUAUUUUCUGUGUAUAUGUUAAAUACAACAUGCCUCCGAUAAUGAAUAAAAAGAAGAAAAAACAUCAAGAA